ensembl:lncRNA
CCCGGGAAUAGUCCCAUCUUCUUUCACUUAAAAUAAGGCCCUUGACUUGCACGUGCAUCCCUCCAGCUUCCUGCCGAAACCCCUCUCCCAGGGCCAGCAUCACCCACCCCAGCGCCUGCAGGUCAGUUACCUUGGCUGCACAGGUUGGUUUCUUUGUAAUUUGUUCAUUUAAACUGGAAUUGGUUUUCAACUUUUUUAAAGUUUUGACUUUUCCUCGUUUAAAACAAUCUGGGUUUCUAUGCUGUCUUCUAAAAUUUGGAAAAUCUGGCAAUACUGAGCCCAUGGCAAAAAAUUGGCUCAAGUCUGUACAGAAAAGAGAUCCUAGGAAGAGAGUGACACUCACGCCGUCAUUUGAUUUUCAACAAAAGUGCCAACCCAGUCAAAUGGGGAAACAAAAAUUUUAUCAACGAAAGGGUACUGGAACAACUAGGAAUGGGAAAAACAUGAAUCUUGACCCCACAUCAUACCCAAACAUUUUUUUGAGAUGAAUCAUAGGCCUAAAUGUAAAAGCUAAAACUGUAAAGCUUUUAGAGGAAAACUUGGAUGAAUAUCUUCAUGACUUGGGCGGUAAGCAAAACUUUCUUAGAUCAAAGAAAGCAAUAACCAUUAAAACUUUUUGAGAAAUUAGACUUCAUCAGAAUUAAAAAUGUCUGCUCAUCAAAAAGAUACCCUUACAAAACGUAAUAGAUUAAUCUCAACCUAGAACAAAAUACUUGCAAAACAUAUAUCUGACAAAGGAUUGGCAUCCGGGAUAUACAAAGAACUCCAACAAGAAUAAGAAAUAAUAAAAGACAAUUCCCCAAAAAUGGGCAAAAGAUUUGAACAGACACUUCACAAAAGAAGAUAUACAGAUGGCCAAUACGUACAAGAAGAAGUGGUCAACGUCCUUGGUCAUCAGGGAAAUGCAAACGAGAACCACGAUGGAAAUACCCCUACACCAUCACCAGAAUGACCCAAAAUAAAAAACAGUAACACCAGCGCUGGGGAGGAUGUGGAUUAACUGGAACCCGCGUGCACUGUUGGUGGGAAUGUAAGAGGAACAACACCUUUGGCAAAAGGUCUGGUGGUUUCUUACAAAACUAGACAUACUCCUACUCUAUGACCCAGCAAUUCUACUCCUAAGAAUAUACCCAAGAGAUGUGAAAAUAUAUGUUCACGAAAAUAUUUGUACAAAAAUAUUAAUAGCUUUAUCCCUAAGAGCCAAAAACUAGAAACAGCCCAGGUGUCCACCCACAGAAGGAUGGAUAAACAAACUGUGGCGUGUUCAUACAGUGGAAUACUUCAGUAAUACUAUACUUCAGUAAUAAAUACUUCAGUAAUAAAGAGAAAUGAAAUGGGCCAGCCCCAUGACCUAGUGGUUAAGUUUGGUGUGUUCUACUUCAGCAGCCUGGGUUUAGAUCCUGGGCGCAGACCUACACCAUUCAUUGGCGGCCAUGCUUGGCAGCAACUCACAUACAAAAUGGAGGAAGAUUGACACAGAUUGGCUCAGGGCGAAUCUUCCUCAGCUAAGAGGGGGGAGCAAAGGGAAUGAACUACUGAUAUACUCAACAACAUGGAUAUAUCUUUAAAACGUUAUGCUCAGUGAAAGAAUUCUUACACAAAAGAGCACAUUCUGUGUGAUUCCACUUCUAUGAAGUUCUAGAAGAGACAAAACUAACCGUGAUGGAAAAUGACAAGAACAGUGGUUACUCAGGGGGUUGGAAGCAGAGACAAACCGGGGAGCAACAUGAGGGGAUUUUCAGGGAUGCUGAUCUGUAACUUGAAUGCCUCAGGUACAUCUUCCAACCACGUGGAAUCAGCACAAUAAAUUACACGCAUCAAGCUCGGAGAUAGACAAGCAGAAACCUAAACACCCGCUAGGACUCCGGAACUCCAAUGCCUGACAGAGCCAAGCUGCCUCCUGCCUCCCGCCUUCCAUCGGGGACAGAGCCGACGGGUGACAUCGGCAGGCCUCAGAGGAAAUGCCGUCUCUCAUGCAUUUAUCCCUUUGUCCUCUGGACGCUGUUUAGGGAAUAAACACUUGCCCUUUAAGAAUGGUCCUCCUAAAGAUGGCACAAAGAAUAAGCUAGUCCUCGGAAAACCUGGGUUAGAAUCACAUGAAGUUGGGCAACAUAAUCUCUCAGAGCUUCUUUUCCCUCUUGUGUAAAAUAUGGAUAAUAAUAACUGCUAUAAAGAACAAAUGAGAGCCAGCCCUCAUGGCCUAGUGGUUAAGUUUGGCACGCUCUGCUUCAGCGGCUGGGGUUCAGUUCUUGGGCGCAGAACCACACCACUCGUCUGUCAGUAGCCAUGCUGUGGCAGCAGCUCACAGAGAAUAGCCAGAAGAACUUACAACUGUACACAACUAUGUCCUGGGGCUUUUGCAGGGUAGGG